UCUCCCGGGGCCUCCGCCCGCAGCCCGCGGCAGAGCGGAGGCAGGCGGCUGAGACGGGCAAGCCAUUUGCAUUCGCCGGCAGUCAUUUUUAUACACGGAGGUCCCUUGAAAUGUCACUGGGAAAGUCUUGUCCAACAUGUCUCUGACAGAGCAAUCAUAGUGGAGCUGGAUCUGGUCUAUUUAAGAUAAAAAUUCACCCUGAGCGCUCCUCCCUGACCUCUGCCAGGUGGGUUGGAGUGGCGACAUCAUCACUACCGGCAAUCCUUCACCUCUUUCCACAAGAGCCUGCCAGGAAGAGAAAUAUCUGAAGUACAUUUUGAGCUCUCAGCCUGGGAUUUACCUGCGAUUUGUCAUGGACAUUGGGCAAUUACUGGCACACGAGCCAGAGAAGUGAGAGAGGCGAGGCUUUGCCUCUCCUGCAAGACCAUCAUCUUUGCAUCCGUCAUUCUUCUAGACGUCUCUAGUUUGCGUUCCCAGCUCAAACUGCACAGAAAAGAGAUCUUUUAGCUUUUCCCUAGUCACCCACAUGCUGAGAAAACUGGAGAAAAUGGGUAAUAGUCGUUGUUAUCAGUACUUGUACGCUUCAGGAGGUAUCCCCAAGAACUGUAUCUAAAGAGAGGCUGUCAUUCUCUGAGAUUUAAGCCUUCAACACAAAAUACAAGAAUGGAGGUACUAGCAAUCAUGUGAAGGAGCUGAAAUAGCUCCCCAGCUGCACAACUCACAUCCAAACCUGCUUGAACAUUUUAUUAGAAAAUCUAAAGAAAAAUGAAUUGAUCAGAAAAGGGGGAGGGUUGUUCAGUCAUGGAAGCACAGAGGCAAAUGUUACCAGGGUUCAUCUACAUCUUUUCCAGGGACAGGAAGCUGGAGUCAGUGGACGUAGGUGGCCACCGAUGCCCUUGGGAGACACAUCUCUAAUAACCACACGCAUUCAAUGUAUGUGACUGACAAACUUCAAGGCUUCAGCUCCCUUUGAUAACAUCCCAUCCUGUUAUUGAGCCCCCUUUAGACGUUCAGCCUUCCCUGUCUUCAUUCAGUAUAUUAAAUACCUUCAGACUGUUGCUUCCCAACAACACUUGCAAACAGAAAGCAAACAGAAUGAUGCCAUGACUUAGAAGAUCCCUGAUACAUUUCUCACUGUCAAUGCCUAUGCUGUGUUUUGAUCUUAUAUCCACAUGCUGUGCUCCUGAUAUGUCUCCUUUGCCUCUCUGCACUGACACUGGCAUUCAAGCUGAAGACUAGACCCUGGGCCCUGGAAGCACACCCAGCCAAUGCCUGCUAAGGAAUCCCCUCCAGGUGACUCCUAUCCAAACCACAGAGGCCACAGACUGGAUCAUGAGCUUAGUUUUCCAGAAGCCUGAAGGAGACCUUGUUUUAUUGGUCUUGAAACCAAUCUUGGGGAUCCAAGAGGCAGAGGGAGAAGAGAGUACCCCAGUUGGCAGAAUCUGAAGUAAGGGGUCAUUCAGCUGGAAACAGCACAGAACUAGAGCCAUGGGCUUGGCUAGGAAUGGACUCAUUUGUACUUGCUGCUGUCAGAACUUCCAAAUUGCUCCAAGGUUAUUAAACUGAACAAAUUGCCUCUGUUCUUUGGACUUCAUCUGAAGAUUCUGGAAUGGCCCACAUUAAGUUAUGCUAAAGUGAAGACAGCUUUCUCCCUUAUGAGGAAUUCUGUGCAACUCAACUAACAAAUGUUUUUUGCAAAUAUUUGUGAUAUUUGUGUAAGUAUUUGAAGAUCAUGCACAUUACAGCUUGAUUAUUUUACUAUUUUAGGAGUUGUGCUGUUUCUCCACACUGCAUCCACCAGACAGCAUUACCUGGGUCAACCAUUCUAUUAAGGCUGUUUUUUUGUUUUUUGUUUUUGAUGGAGGUGGAGCCAAAGUUUGUCUCAGUGGAACUACUUUUUUGAAAUUAGAGUGAGCAAAUAUACUUCCCAUGUGGAAGUGCUUCUUGCCUGUCUUUAAAUGAAAGUAGAUGUUACUAUAUAAUCUGGUGAAAUGCUCUAGAGAAGCUGUAUUUUGCUAGGGAUGUCCAAGACCAGUGGGGAGGGCGAGUCCUCUUUUGAAGUGGGUAGAAUGGAGUUGGCUGUCAUUUCUGCCUGAGAGAAGCUGAUCUUUGAUGAAGACUCAAUUGCUAGUGAUUUUUUUUUUUUUACUUUAGAGAGCCCAUUAAUUUAAGUUCACGUGUCUUCAAACAUACUUUA